rnacentral:rRNA from 1 species
UCAGCUUGUUGGUGGGGUAAUGGCCUACCAAGGCGACGACGGGUAGCCGGCCUGAGAGGGUGACCGGCCACACUGGGACUGAGACACGGCCCAGACUCCUACGGGAGGCAGCAGUGGGGAAUAUUGCACAAUGGGCGCAAGCCUGAUGCAGCGACGCCGCGUGAGGGAUGACGGCCUUCGGGUUGUAAACCUCUUUCAGCACGGAAGAAGCGAAAGUGACGGUACGUGCAGAAGAAGCGCCGGCUAACUACGUGCCAGCAGCCGCGGUAAUACGUAGGGCGCAAGCGUUGUCCGGAAUUAUUGGGCGUAAAGAGCUCGUAGGCGGUUUGUCGCGUCUGCUGUGAAAGCCCGGGGCUUAACCCCGGGUGUGCAGUGGGUACGGGCAGACUUGAGUGCAGUAGGGGAGACUGGAACUCCUGGUGUAGCGGUGAAAUGCGCAGAUAUCAGGAAGAACACCGAUGGCGAAGGCAGGUCUCUGGGCUGUUACUGACGCUGAGGAGCGAAAGCAUGGGGAGCGAACAGGAUUAGAUACCCUGGUAGUCCAUGCCGUAAACGUUGGGCACUAGGUGUGGGGGACAUUCCACGUUUUCCG